CCUGCACACACACAUGCGCGCGCGCACGCACAGCAUUGAAAGAAAGAAAAAGAAAAAGAUAAAAACAAAACGAAACGAAAAGAAAUUUCGGGCAGAUUUUCUUCAGAUUUUUUUUCUGCGUAUUUUUUGCGCUUAUUUGCGUCAACAAUAACAUGUAUUAAUACAAUCAGGCCUCAGAGGCGGCAGCCAAGGGCGAGACACAUCGCACCUUUUAUUGUUAUACUUGUUCAUAUUUUGU
rnacentral:ribozyme from 1 species